AUUCUGAGCUCUUAAGCAUGCCAGGAGCAGAUGCCUGAUUUUACUGUGUGGCACUUUGUGGCCCAGAAACUUUCCAGAUUCUGUAUUUUCCUAUCUGGUUAAAUGUAACUGUAUUUACCUGUGUUUCAAAGCCUGAAUGCUUUAUUUAUUCUCUACUUAAUUUUCUUUUCCAGUUUUUCCUAACAAGCUUCCCUAGAUUUACUUGUUCUCACUUCCUAGACGCUAUUUGUAUUCUUCCUUCUUCUCUAGUUCAUUGGAAAUUUCUGCUUCUUUGAGACUGAGGUUAUAUUCCACUUCUUCUGACUACACCACCACCAUCAAUCUCCUUCUCUGAACUCUUGGAUCAUUACUUCAACCUGAAACAACUCAUCAGGUAUCUAUAAAGGUGGUUAUUUGAGUUCCUGUUUUUAGGAUUCCAAAAUGAUGCCAAGAUAUGUAAAAUGAAAUGUUAAUUGCAUUUUUUUUGAGGGGGUUAGAACUAUGUAAGUCCCAAAAGAGACAAAGAGUUUAGCUCAAAGCUAUCAGAUGUUGGAAUCAGAAGUUUGGCUUAGGUUAAUAAAAUGUUUUGCUGUUUAAUUUACAAAAUUUUUCAAGAUCAGGUCCCUGGAGGGAAAAUAGCAAAAGGAAUUCCUGAUAGAGAAAAGUUGCAAACCACUAAUUGUGUAUAGAUUUGGUAUUUUGUUAUGUGUAGUAAAGUGGUUGAGAGUAUGAUCUUUGAAGUCAGGCAGACCUGGGUUUGCCACUUUCUAUCUGUAUAACUCUGUACUUUGCAUUAUCUUUGGGAGUCUUGGUUUCUCACCUAGAAAGUGAGUCAAGGCAAAUAAUUUACUCAGCACAAUGCCUGCCAUAUAGUAAAUGUUCAGUGUUAUCAUUAUUGUUGUUGCAUCUUAUUUGCUCUUUUUUGUGGUUUAUGUCCUGUGUUAGGCAGAAUAGUUGCCUACUGCCCCAACCCCACCAAAUGUUCCAGCACCUCUGAUAUUACCUCACAUGGCAAGAGGGCUUUGAAGAUGUGAUUGAGUCAAGGAUCUUGAAUGGGGAGAUUAUCCUGAAUUAUUCAGCUGGACCCAGUGUAAUCACAAAGGUUUUUCAAAGAUGGAAGAGAGGCAGAAGAGCCAGAAAAGGAUAUGUGACAAUGGAGUCAGUGUCAGAGUUGGAGUGACGUGAUGUGAGAAGGAUUCAACCUGCUGUUUCUGGCUUUGAGGAUGAAAGAAGGGGCCAUGAGCCAAGCAAUACAGGUGGCUUCUUUCAAGAAGUUGGAAAAGUGGUAAUAUUUUAUGUUAUUUUGGUUUGAUUUUUGUUUGUGGCAUAUGGCUCUGCUGUCCUGUGACUCUAAGUAGAAGAGAAAAUAGUGCCAAUAAUUCUUCAUGGAGAUGCACCUCUCUCAAGUCUUGAACAAUGUUUGAGGAGGAAGUGGUUCUCAGAUAAUUGACUAAUCACUUCUUCAUGGUCGUGAACUCAAGGACUUACCUGUUAUGAGGGGAGAAGCAUAAUAAAGAUUACAUCAUGUGAACUUUUGAAAUAAAAUGCCCGAAGACAUAAGAGAGACCCUUACCACUGUCACACUCAAAAGGAAAGCUUAGUAGCUACAGAGAUUUAAAAAGCAAGCAAACAAGCAACCAAGCAAACAACAAAGACCUGAAGAAAAUUCCAGAAUAAUCCUCAACCUGUGCUUUCACAUGCUAAAUUUUCAUAAUGAGAAAGAUAAACUGUGUAUCUUGUGGUGUCAGUGGUCAGUGUGGUGAUAGUAGUUGUGGUUUGGGCUGCUUUUUUCCUUGUUUAUUUUUUCCAAAUUUUAUUUGGGAAAAUUUCUGCUGUUUCCAUUGUGAACUAAAGUUACAUAUACUGGAUGAUAUAACUUUAACUCCUAAGAGUAUGUUUGGCUAUGUUUUUGGAAUUAGGUAUUAUGCAUGCCACCUUGUGGCCAUUAUUAAGAAAACACCUAACAUGAAGACGAGAAACAGGAUCAUUAGUGAGAGCAGCUUGAGCUUGGAGCAGUACUUUCCCAAGUCUGUUUCUCCAACAGCAUCCUUAGAACCCUUAGAACCUGGAUAUCACAUUUUAGUGGGAGGAGACAGACAAUAAAUAAAACAAAGUAUAGUAAGUGCUCUGGAGAAAAGUAAUGCAAAGAAGAGGGCCAGAAAGUAUCAAAAAGUUUGAAAUUACAAAUAAGGUACUCUUGGAAGACCUCACUAAGGUCACAUUUGAGCAGAGAUCUGAACAGCAUGAGAGACAACUGGGGGUGGGGGGGGGCAGAAUAAUGUUUCAGAUAUGUACAUUGCAACUGCAAAGGCCUGAGACAGGAAUUUGCCUGGCCUGUUCCAGCUUAGCAAAGAAAGAGGCCUGUGUUAAUGAUACUCAGAGAGGAAGGAGGCAAUAGUAGAACAUGAAGCCAGAAAAGUGACCAGAUGCAGGAGUGACUAAGGCUUUGUAGACUGCUGUAUAGACUCUGAGGGAAAUGAGCAGUCAUUGAUGGGUUUUUCGCACAGAAGGAUCUUGGUGUGUUUUAAAAGGAACAUUCUGUAUUCUAUGUUGAAAACAGACUGAAAAGCACAAGAGAAAGAACAGGAAGAGCAAUUAGGAGGCUGUGGUAGAUUAUUAUUCAGCAAAUAUUCACCCUACUGUCCUCCCCAUAAGAUUUCCCCAGGCCACCAUCACUGGAUUUGGCUAUUUGACUUGCUGUAGUCAAUGGAAUGUGAGUGAAAAGUGACUCUGUACCAGUGGGGAGGCAAAGCCUUAAAAGACCCAGCAAAUUUCUUCCAGCCCUUUUGUGCUUCUGCCAAAAGAAUACUGUGAGCAAUCAGUGCCCUUAAGCCUGGGCCUCAGAACGAGAGAUAUGGAGCAAACCUGAACCUGAACAGCAGCCUACAAUCAAGCCAGGAUGACCCUGCAAAGCCCAGCCAACGAUAGCAAAGCCACAGCAGACUUGUAGACCAAUGAGCAUGAAAUAAAUUGCAUUGAAAGCUACUGAGAUUGGAGGAAUAAUUUUUAUGCAGGAUUACUGCAGUGAACCUGAUUGAUACAGGAGCUACUGCAAUAAUCCAGGGAAAGAGGGGAUGAUGAGCUGAAGUAAACUAGGAUGGUUGCGAUCGGAUUAGAGUCUGUAUAUACAUUUGAGGACAAGAUUUGAAAGAAUUUGCUGAUGGUUUAGCUAUUAAGUGUGAAAGAGAAAUUUUGAAAUUUUGGUCCAAACAAUGGGAAUGAUUGAGUUGCCAUUUACUGACACGGGGAACAUGAAAGAAGGGGCAGGUUUACUUGAUUCAGGGCAUGCAGAGGAGAGCAGAGUUAAACUUUAUAUAUGUUAAGUUUCAUAUGCGUCUUAUAUUUGGAAGUAGAGGUAUCUUCCUAUAUUUGUAAAAAGAGGUAUCCAGCAAGUAAUUUGACAUUUAAAAAAGAUUUCUGGAGAUCAUUUCUGCUCUGGCUAUAAUGGGAUGACAGAGACUACAUUUACUGUGUACCUCAAACAAAUAGAAAAUUGGACAAAACAAUGUUUUCAGGCAUAAUAAACAAAUUGAACCUUAUUAUUACCUCAGCUUGGCUUGCCACCUAGAGGCAGUUUUCGAGCUUUAAUAGAUGGAGGGUUUAUUAGUCUGUUUUCACGCUGCUAUAAAGAAUGACCUGAAACUGGGUAAUUUAAAAAGGAAAGAGGUUUAAUUGACUCACAGUUCCUCAUGGCUGGGGAGGCCUCAGGAAACUUACAAUCAUGGUGGAAGGUGAAGGGGAAGCAAGGCAUGUCUUUAAGAGGUGGCAGGAGAGAGAGAGAGACAGAGAGAGAGAGAGAGAGACAGAGAGAGCAAAAGUGCAGGGGAAACUGCCGCUUUUAAACCGUCAGAUCUCAUGAGAACUCCCUCACUAUCACAAGAACAGCAUAGGGAAAACUGCCCACAUGAUCCAGUCACCUCCCACCAAGUCCCUUUCUUGACACAUGGGGGAUUA
rnacentral:lncRNA from 10 species